GACGUAGGGCGCGAGCGUUGUCCGGAUUUAUUGGGCGUAAAGAGCUUGUAGGUGGUUUGUCGCGUCUGCUGUGAAAAUCCGAGGCUCAACCUCGGACUUGCAGUGGGUACGGGCAGACUAGAGUGUGGUAGGGGAGACUGGAAUUCAUGGUGUAGCAGUGAAAUGCGUAGAGAUCAUGAGGAAGACCAGUGGCGAAGGCGGGUCUCUGGACAGUUCCUGACACUGAGACACGAAGGCCAGGGGAGCAAACGGG
rnacentral:rRNA from 1 species